CCUACGGGUGGCUGCAGUGGGGAAUAUUGGACAAUGGGGGGAACCCUGAUCCAGCCAUGCCGCGUGUGUGAAGAAGGCCCUCGGGUUGUAAAGCACUUUCAGUGAGGAAGAACGCCUGGUGGUUAAUACCCAUCAGGAAAGACAUCACUCACAGAAGAAGCACCGGCUAACUCCGUGCCAGCAGCCGCGGUAAUAUGGAGGGUGCGAGCGUUAAUCGGAAUUACUGGGCGUAAAGCGCGCGUAGGUGGCUUGAUAAGCCGGUUGUGAAAGCCCCGGGCUCAACCUGGGAACGGCAUCCGGAACUGUCAAGCUAGAGUGCAGGAGAGGAAGGUAGAAUUCCCGGUGUAGCGGUGAAAUGCGUAGAGAUCGGGAGGAAUACCAGUGGCGAAGGCGGCCUUCUGGACUGACACUGACACUGAGGUGCGAAAGCGUGGGUAGCAAACAGGAUUAGAUACCCGUGUAGUC
rnacentral:rRNA from 1 species